rnacentral:precursor_RNA from 8 species
UUGGCAGAAGCUGAGCUGACUAUGCCUCCCCGCAUCCCCUAGGGCAUUGGUGUAAAGCUGGAGACCCACUGCCCCAGGUGCUGCUGGGGGUUGUAGUCUGACCCAACUGGGAAGAAA